GAGAUGGAGUCUCGCUAUGUUGCCUAGGCUGGCCUCAAAUACCUGACCAUGCAUGAUCCUCCUGCUUUGGUCUCCCAAAAUGCUGAGAUUACAGGUCUGUGUGAUUCUAGAACAACAGGCACCAAACCACUGUGAGGAAGGGCAGGUCGGAGAGCAGGAUGACCUCACGAUGAACGCUGAAUCAUAUAUUAAGAAUUUACACCUGGUGAAUCUUCCUUCGAAAAUGAGAAAUCAAGUACAUCAAUGGACAUUUGGUGGGAGAUUAACAGAGAAUUCCAGAAUGACAAAACAAACCGACAAUUUUGGGGAGGAGAACAAAAAGAAAGAAUGAAGACAAAAUCCCCCGGAAAUGCUCUCAACAGUGAGGAAAGAGAGGCACCUUCUUUCCUGGAGCACAACUCACCAAUUCCACCAUCAGCUGGUUUCUUCCGAGAUCACAAAAGCAAUUGCGAACGGGGCUCCAUUGAGGGGGGACCCAACUCAUUACUUCUCUCAGGGGGCCCACAAUGGAGUUAGAAAGUUCCCGGACGCUGCUGCCACUGGUGGCCGGACCGUGUUUUGACAGAAAGGGGCUGGAGCACAAGCAAAGUUCCCUGGGACCGGGAUUGUGGUUCUAGUGCCCUCUGGUGGUCAGGACCUCCCUAGCAGCGCCCCGCAGAGAAGAACUGAUGAUAGAAGCCCUGGCUAACAGAAUUUCUGGCGGACACCUGGAUUUCAGCCUUGUAAUAACUGGAGCAGAACCCAGCCAAGCCUGCUUGGACUCCUGACCUACAAAACUGGUGCUCAUCCUCGGAACCCAGGCUCCAUGCUUUGAGGAAGCCCAAGCAGAUGCACAGAAAAGCCACCUGUAGGUAUCCUGGUCACAGCCCCAUCUGAGAGCCAGCAUCAAUUGCCAGACUUUUAAGUGAGAGAGCUUUCAGAAGGUUCCAGCCCCCUGUCUUCAAGUGGCCCGGCUGAUGCUGAGUGAAGCAGGCAUGAGCCCCAGUGAGUCCU